UACGUAGGGGGCAAGCGUUGUCCGGAUUUAUUGGGCGUAAAGCGCGUGUAGGCGGCCACGCAGGUCCGCUGUGAAAACUCGAGGCUCAACCUCGAGCUGUCGGUGGAAACCGCGUGGCUAGAGUCCGGAAGAGGAGACUGGAAUUCCCGGUGUAGCGGUGGAAUGCGCAGAGUAUCGGGAGGAACACCCGUGGCGAAGGCGGGUCUCUGGGCCGGUACUGACGCUGAGGAGCGAAAGCGUGGGGAGCGAACAGG
rnacentral:rRNA from 1 species